CCCUUCUCAGGGUUGCACCUGAAGAGUUUCCAGUACUCUACCAGUCUUGAAUACAGGAGGGAGAGUCAAGCAGAGGCCUACCUAUUCUACUCCUAGCUUGGCCAGUGGCUAGUGAGUGGAAAGCAAUCUGCUACAAGU